AAAUUGAAGAGUUUGAUCAUGGCUCAGAUUGAACGCUGGCGGCAGGCCUAACACAUGCAAGUCGAGCGGUAGCACAGAGAGCUUGCUCUCGGGUGACGAGCGGCGGACGGGUGAGUAAUGUCUGGGAAACUGCCUGAUGGAGGGGGAUAACUACUGGAAACGGUAGCUAAUACCGCAUAAUGUCGCAAGACCAAAGUGGGGGACCUUCGGGCCUCAUGCCAUCAGAUGUGCCCAGAUGGGAUUAGCUAGUAGGUGGGGUAACGGCUCACCUAGGCGACGAUCCCUAG
rnacentral:rRNA from 1 species